rnacentral:rRNA from 1 species
GGUUAAGCGACUAAGCGUACACGGUGGAUGCCCUGGCAGUCAGAGGCGAUGAAGGACGUGCUAAUCUGCGAAAAGCGUCGGUAAGGUGAUAUGAACCGUUACAGCCGGCGAUGUCCGAAUGGGGAAACCCAGUGCAAUUCGUUGCACUAUCGUUAACUGAAUACAUAGGUUAACGAGGCGAACCGGGGGAACUGAAACAUCUAAGUACCCCGAGGAAAAGAAAUCAACCGAGAUUCCCCCAGUAGCGGCGAGCGAACGGGGAGCAGCCCAGAGUCUGAAUCAGCUUGUGUGUUAGUGGAACGGUCUGGAAAGUCCGACGGUACAGGGUGAUAGUCCCGUACACCAAAAUGCACAGGUUGUGAACUCGAAGAGUAGGGCGGGACACGUGGUAUCCUGUCUGAAUAUGGGGGGACCAUCCUCCAAGGCUAAAUACUCCUGACUGACCGAUAGUGAACCAGUACCGUGAGGGAAAGGCGAAAAGAACCCCGGCGAGGGGAGUGAAAAAGAACCUGAAACCGUGUACGUACAAGCAGUGGGAGCACCUUCGGGUGUGACUGCGUACCUUUUGUAUAAUGGGUCAGCGACUUAUAUUCUGUAGCAAGGUUAACCGUAUAGGGGAGCCGCAGGGAAACCGAGUCUUAACUGGGCGUUAAGUUGCAGGGUAUAGACCCGAAACCCGGUGAUCUAGCCAUGGGCAGGUUGAAGGUUGGGUAACACUAACUGGAGGACCGAACCGACUAAUGUUGAAAAAUUAGCGGAUGACUUGUGGCUGGGGGUGAAAGGCCAAUCAAACCGGGAGAUAGCUGGUUCUCCCCGAAAGCUAUUUAGGUAGCGCCUCGUGAAUUCAUCUUCGGGGGUAGAGCACUGUUUCGGCUAGGGGGUCAUCCCGACUUACCAACCCGAUGCAAACUACGAAUACCGAAGAAUGUUAUCACGGGAGACACACGGCGGGUGCUAACGUCCGUCGUGAAGAGGGAAACAACCCAGACCGCCAGCUAAGGUCCCAAAGUCAUGGUUAAGUGGGAAACGAUGUGGGAAGGCACAGACAGCCAGGAUGUUGGCUUAGAAGCAGCCAUCAUUUAAAGAAAGCGUAAUAGCUCACUGGUCGAGUCGGCCUGCGCGGAAGAUGUAACGGGGCUAAACCAUGCACCGAAGCUGCGGCAGCGAC